GCUGGCGGCGUGCCUAAUACAUGCAAGUCGAACGAACUCUGGUAUUGAUUGGUGCUUGCAUCAUGAUUUACAUUUGAGUGAGUGGCGAACUGGUGAGUAACACGUGGGAAACCUGCCCAGAAGCGGGGGAUAACACCUGGAAACAGAUGCUAAUACCGCAUAACAACUUGGACCGCAUGGUCCGAGUUUGAAAGAUGGCUUCGGCUAUCACUUUUGGAUGGUCCCGCGGCGUAUUAGCUAGAUGGUGGGGUAACGGCUCACCAUGGCAAUGAUACGUAGCCGACCUGAGAGGGUAAUCGGCCACAUUGGGACUGAGACACGGCCCAAACUCCUACGGGAGGCAGCAGUAGGGAAUCUUCCACAAUGGACGAAAGUCUGAUGGAGCAACGCCGCGUGAGUGAAGAAGGGUUUCGGCUCGUAAAACUCUGUUGUUAAAGAAGAACAUAUCUGAGAGUAACUGUUCAGGUAUUGACGGUAUUUAACCAGAAAGCCACGGCUAACUACGUGCCAGCAGCCGCGGUAAUACGUAGGUGGCAAGCGUUGUCCGGAUUUAUUGGGCGUAAAGCGAGCGCAGGCGGUUUUUUAAGUCUGAUGUGAAAGCCUUCGGCUCAACCGAAGAAGUGCAUCGGAAACUGGGAAACUUGAGUGCAGAAGAGGACAGUGGAACUCCAUGUGUAGCGGUGAAAUGCGUAGAUAUAUGGAAGAACACCAGUGGCGAAGGCGGCUGUCUGGUCUGUAACUGACGCUGAGGCUCGAAAGUAUGGGUAGCAAACAGGAUUAGAUACCCUGGUAGUCCAUACCGUAAACGAUGAAUGCUAAGUGUUGGAGGGUUUCCGCCCUUCAGUGCUGCAGCUAACGCAUUAAGCAUUCCGCCUGGGGAGUACGGCCGCAAGGCUGAAACUCAAAGGAAUUGACGGGGGCCCGCACAAGCGGUGGAGCAUGUGGUUUAAUUCGAAGCUACGCGAAGAACCUUACCAGGUCUUGACAUACUAUGCAAAUCUAAGAGAUUAGACGUUCCCUUCGGGGACAUGGAUACAGGUGGUGCAUGGUUGUCGUCAGCUCGUGUCGUGAGAUGUUGGGUUAAGUCCCGCAACGAGCGCAACCCUUAUUAUCAGUUGCCAGCAUUAAGUUGGGCACUCUGGUGAGACUGCCGGUGACAAACCGGAGGAAGGUGGGGAUGACGUCAAAUCAUCAUGCCCCUUAUGACCUGGGCUACACACGUGCUACAAUGGAUGGUACAACGAGUUGCGAACUCGCGAGAGUAAGCUAAUCUCUUAAAGCCAUUCUCAGUUCGGAUUGUAGGCUGCAACUCGCCUACAUGAAGUCGGAAUCGCUAGUAAUCGCGGAUCAGCAUGCCGCGGUGAAUACGUUCCCGGGCCUUGUACACACCGCCCGUCACACCAUGAGAGUUUGUAACACCCAAAGUCGGUGGGGUAACCUUUUAGGAACCAGCCGCCUAAGGUGGGACAGAUGAUUAGGGUGAAGUCGUAACAAGG
rnacentral:rRNA from 1 species